rnacentral:rRNA from 1 species
AUGCUUAACACAUGCAAGUCGAACGAAGUCCCACCCUUCGGGGUGAUGACUUAGUGGCAGACGGCUGAGUAACACGUGAAUGAUCUGCCUUUGGGUGGGGGACAACAGAGAGAAAUUUCUGCUAAUACCCCAUGUGAUCCACAGUUUAGGGCUGUGGUUGAAAGGUGCCGGGUAACCGGUUACCGCCCUUAGAUGAGUUCGCGGCCUAUCAGGUAGUUGGUGGGGUAAUAGCCUACCAAACCGAAGACGGGUAGCUGGUGUGAGAGCACGACCAGCCAGAGGGGGACUGAGACACGGCCCCCACUCCUACGGGAGGCAGCAGCAGGGAAUCUUCCACAAUGGGCGAAAGCCUGAUGGAGCGACGCCGCGUGAGGGAUGAAGGCUUUAGGGUCGUAAACCUCUUUUCUCAGGGAAGAGCAAGGACGGUACCUGAGGAAUAAGUGACGGCUAACUACGUGCCAGCAGCCGCGGUAAUACGUAGGUCACAAACGUUGUCCGGAAUUAUUGGGCGUAAAGGGUCCGUAGGCGGUUCGGUAAGUCUCCGGUGAAAUCUUCAGGCUCAACUUGAAGAGGUCGGGGGAUACUGCUGAACUUGAGACAGACAGAGGCAAAUGGAAUUCCCGGUGUAGUGGUGAAAUGCGUAGAUAUCUGAAGGAACACCAGUGG